rnacentral:rRNA from 1 species
GUGGGGAAUUUUGCGCAAUGGGGGAAACCCUGACGCAGCAACGCCGCGUGGAGGAUGAAGUAUCUUGGUACGUAAACUCCUUUCGAUAGGGAAGAUAAUGACGGUACCUAUAGAAGAAGCCCCGGCUAACUUCGUGCCAGCAGCCGCGGUAAUACGAGGGGGGCAAGCGUUGUUCGGAUUUAUUGGGCGUAAAGGGUGCGUAGGCGGUUUGGCAAGUCUUGUGUGAAAUCUUCGGGCUCAACCCGAAGUCUGCACGAGAAACUACCGGGCUUGAGUAGUGGAGAGGUGAGUGGAAUUUCCGGUGUAGCGGUGAAAUGCGUAGAUAUCGGAAGGAACACCUGUGGCGAAAGCGGCUCACUGGACACUAACUGACGCUGAGGCACGAAAGCUAGGGGAGCAAACAGG